GGCCAGUUGUCUUUUUUGAGAUACGUUGUUUCAGCACCACCAGAAGUAUUUACAUUUGCCCAUUCUUCUAGGAAGCUGGCGUGUGUUAAUCCAUUAAGUGAUAAGGUGGUUCCACAAAGACUAACAAAUCAUGCGUGGAAAUCUCUUGACCUUCUGGAGGUGUUGCGCCGGCUAGCUGAAAGGGACCAUGCUAAAUCUGUUCGACAAAUUUUGGAGUCGCCUUUUAAAUAAUGCCCUGAACUUUUGUUGCUUGGGAUUGCUUAGAUUAAUAUAUUUACUUCCGGUUUUUUUUUUUCUAUUUCUUAUGGUGAUUUGUCACUCUCUGUGUGCAAGUAGUGAAAUCAAGUGUUGCUUUUGCAGACUCCUAUAAUCUACUUCAAUAUGAAGUGUUUUCUGCUGUCUUCCCCAUAAUAGUUGCCUAUGCCACUGGAAGUAGUAUCGUUCUGCAGCUUUGGCAAUCUAUUCCCAAGCUUGUCUUGCAAGGAUUUCUGGAUAUAAUGAGAAUAGACCAAGGCAACAUGGUUAAAGUUUUGGACAUUUGUUAGGAGUUGAAGAUUUUGUCAUCCAUACUGGAGCAGGUGCCAAUUUACUUCAGCAUC